rnacentral:lncRNA from 1 species
UUUCUACCCUAGUCAGACUUGGUAUUUGUCUUUCUGGAUCAUGCUGGGGUAUGAUUCUCAUUGCGGACAGAAUAACAACAAGAAGACCUUGAGAAUAAGCAUCAAUUUGUGAGCCCCAAGGGCGAAGAAGCUUUCCUGAAGCAACAACAGGAACAGGAAGCAAAAAGGAUUUGAAAUGAAAUAGCAAGGGGAUGGAGAUUUGUUUUCUCAUAGUUGUGGAGGCUUGGAAGUCUAGGAUCAAUGUGCCAGCAACUGGCAUCUGGUGAGGCCCUUCUUGUUGCAUCCUCACAUGACAGAAGAAAGAAGGGCAAACGAG